CUUCCAUCUGGAAGAAUCUGGAGACAGGUGCUGCAUGGCUGUCGUCAGCUCGUGUCGUGAGAUGUUGGGUUAAGUCCCGCAACGAGCGCAACCCUUGCCUUAGUUGCCAGCAGUUCGGCUGGGCACUCUAAAGGGACUGCCGGUGUUAAACCGGAGGAAGUGGGGAUGACGUCAAGUCCUCAUGGCCUUUAUGACCAGGGCUACACACGUACUACAAUGGCCGAUACAAAGGGCAGCGACACUGCGAGGUGAAGCCAAUCUCGUAAAAUCGGUCUCAGUCCGGAUUGGAGUCUGCAACUCGACUCCAUGAAGUUGGAAUCGCUAGUAAUCGCGGAUCAGCAUGCCACGGUGAAUACGUUCCCGGGCCUU
rnacentral:rRNA from 1 species